rnacentral:piRNA from 1 species
GCCUCAGAAGCUCUCCUUAGGAAAGCAGGG